CCGCGUGACCAGCCGCGAGCAGCGUGACUGUUGGGACAGCCGCGAGCCGCGUUUUGACCAAGCCAGUCGUUGACCGAAACAGCCGUUGACCGUUUGCCGCGUUCAAACGUUGACCAUUGACCAGCGUUGACCAAAAAAAUGGAAAAUUACACUUUUGGUUCCCUGAACUUUCUGAUAUUUUCAUUUGGUCCCUGAAGUUGGAAAUGGCCAGUUGUCCCUGGAUUUGGGGAAAUUGCAUUUAGGUCGGAAAAAUCUGAAAAAUUUCAAUGUAGUCCUGAAGUUCUGAUUUGACAAUUUGGGUCCCAGAAGUGUCUGAUUUUUGCAGGAAAGCCCUGUCUGAGUUUUCUUCGGCAUUCCGGAUCAUCGCGAGGUCGUUUCAGAGAUUUUUGCUUCAAUGUGGAGAAGUAAGGAAGGCGGAGUGAUUGAGAGCCUGAUCAAGCUUUCAGAUGCGGAUUACGCCCCAGGGAAAAACCAAGGAGAGGAAUGAGAUGAACAGGAAGAUGAUGGGGCUAUCAGACAAUGCAUUGGACACGAGGUGUUAUAUUCAUGUGCACGAUGAGCGAGUGUUGCAGAUCUGACAAUGCAGUGAACACAUGGGUGUUCCAACAUGUAGCACGAUGAGACGAGUGCUUCAUGGGUUGUGGACCAGAUUGAAGGAGAUUGACCGGAAGAAUACAUCUCAGUACAAAGUCUAUUGAGGAGGUUGUGUGAAGCUUCGGAGAGGGAUAUGGUGGGCAGGAACAAAUGAGCGAGUUCCAGAGAAGAGGCACAGGAAGAGGUCAAGAGAAGAGGCCAGAGAAGGAGGUCUCAGGAGAGGCAAGAAAGGAGGCUAGAGAAGAGGUCAAGCAGAUGAUGGAGGAUGGCCAGAAUCCAGAGGUCCACUUUAAGGCUUUUAUUCGCGACCAGGAGGGACAAGAAGAAUUGUCCAAGAAACAAAGCACCAGAUCAGAUCUUCGAGCAGCAAAACAGCAAUGAUGCUGGGAUAAGAGUGAUUGUUCUCCUAGCAGGCAUCGGCAGAUGAAGAGUCAGAUUGGUUUCUGAUUCAGAAUUGCCUUACCACUUGUGAAGAGACAAAGAGAUGUUAUCAUACACAUGUAGCAUGCGAGGGACUUGUUCGGAUGGCUACGAUGCAUUGUUGGCAAAGGACAGUCCGGUUCCGCCAUGGAGACGGAAGAUCCAUGAAGGUGACCGGGGUAAGGCAUGUUUCAUUGAGUGCAGAGUCGAAGCGACGAAGCUUUGAAGCUAGUGGAGGACACCAGAGUUUCCAGGGGAACAUGAAUGCUGCAAGGAGAAGGAAGACUGGAAGGCAUAUACCGACUGAGGGAGAAUGUCCAAACAGGAGAGCUUGCUGUCUGAAUAGUCCAGUGGUAUUAGCAAGAAAUGACGAGGAAAGCAAUCGUUGACCACAGAGGCACGCCAAGCAAGCGAAGGAAUUACCAGAAGUGUACUUGCAGGAUCCAGAGUGGUACAGGAGCGCAAGGAGGAUGCUUUGGGAUACGUGCGGAAGUCUGGCCAGACACGAGAAGGUGCAACCAGAUCAGGAGUCCAGAAGAAGCUCAGAGGAGAGAGACAGAGUAGAUGUACAGGACAGGCGUGAGUCGCCGGAACGAAUAUCUUCGCUACUAGAAAAAGUGGCGUAAUCUCUCAGUUUUGUGAAUUAAGGGAGGAGAGAUAGAGUCACGACGAUUUCCAAAGGCGAGACUUUGCGCGCAACCGGUGGGGGGGAGCAGAGCACCUAGGUGAGAAGGUGCGGCACUUCAGGUGUGGAAGUGCAAUCACUUCAGUGAAGGUGGAGUUGCCCACGAAUGAGGGUAACAUAUAUCGGAUACCUGUCUUGAGAUCUACAAGGAGCUGGAUCAGAAGUGUCAGAGAUGGAUAACUUGAAGAUUUCAGAGUACCCUCCAAUGGGCUGGAGGGGGAGAUUGUUGGAUCCAGCCCAUGGGAUCCAAGCCAUUAUAAGCAAAUGAAAGCCCAAGGGCCCAAGUCUUCCAUGCCUUGCCAUUUCCUCAAUCCUAUCUUCCAGGCAGCCUCAAUUUGAACAAUCUGUCACGAGGACAAAGUCUUGAUAGAGGCGGAGGAAGGAAAAGAAUUGCAGAGAGUAAGGAUGUCGGCUGGAGGGGGAUUGUCAACAAGGAGGCUCCCUCACCACUCUAUAUUUUAAAUGGUUCCCAUUUGAGGAAGCAUAAGAGUGGAAGAGGCAAGAUGUAAUCCUUGGAAGGAUUACCUAACCACUCACUUAGCACCCACUCGACGUUCAGCUUGUUUGCUGUGUGCAAGAGAGGGCUGAGAGAGAGUUGGUUUGGGGGGAGAUGCUAGUGUGCUAGUGAAGCACACCGAGAGCACCGAGAGAAGACUCUGGAAGAAAUUGGGCCUAGAAUUGGUAUCUGUCUGUUGAGAUCUGAUAGAGAGAGACAAAAGUGAACCGAAUGGUGAUACGAUAGAGAGAUGUGCUUAAGUGAGAUGGAGAUGAGCUCCUCCCUAUUGUACUCAUUGUAAUAUU
rnacentral:lncRNA from 1 species